rnacentral:rRNA from 1 species
UACAGAGGUCCCAAGCGUUGUUCGGAUUCAUUGGGCGUAAAGGGUGCGUAGGUGGCGUGGUAAGUCGGGUGUGAAAUCUCGGGGCUCAACCCCGAAACUGCAUUCGAUACUGCCUUGCUAGAGUACUGGAGAGGAGAUUGGAAUUUACGGUGUAGCAGUGAAAUGCGUAGAUAUCGUAAGGAAGACCAGUGGCGAAGGCGGAUCUCUGGACAGUUACUGACACUGAGGCGCGAAGGCCAGGGGAGCAAACGGG